rnacentral:misc_RNA from 1 species
AAAGUCGUAACAAGGUUUCCGUAGGUGAACCUGCGGAAGGAUCAUUAUCUUCAGUGGUCUUCCACUGUUUUGAGGGGGACUUCUCGUCCCUUCUCUAUGUCCUUGUCUUUUGAGUACCUAUGUUUCCUCGGUAGGCUUGCCUGCCGGUUGGACAAAACUAUAACCCUUUUAAUUUUUAAUCAGCGUCUGAAAAACUUAAUAAUUACAACUUUCAACAACGGAUCUCUUGGUUCUG